rnacentral:lncRNA from 1 species
CCGGAAUAGACACGGAUUUAAAGACAUUAGUGUAGGAGUUUUCCAUUUUUGGUAAGUUUUAGGUCUGGAAAUGAAGAACAACUCAAGAACAGGAUGAACUUUACCAAAAAAUAGAAAGGAAAAAUCAGAGAUUUGCGGAAGUAAAGAGAAUAGAGUAGAGAAGAAUGAAUCUCAGGAGCUUACUUGCUCUGAUACCAUGAAAGAAUGUGAGGAUAAAGAGAUUUAUAUGAAGAACAUUGAAGAACACAGAGAGAGAGAGAAAGUAGAUCUGAGAAAAACUAUAUUCCCUUAAUUUAAAUUGUGGAUCUAGAUACAAGUCUUUUAAAGUCAAGUUGACUCAGUACACAAUACAAAAAAAUUUAUAUUGUUUAAAAUAUCUCCAACGGUCCUUCUCUCUUCUUCUUCCUCUUUGCGUCUUCUGAUUCUAAACUCAAGUCUGGUGAUCCUUAUAAAGCCUUAUAAAACCUUAUAAAAUCUUAUAAGUAUUUUCAAAUCUGGCAGCUUAAUUCUCAAGUCUAGCAGCUUAAUUAUGUUUCAUGUCAACACGCGAUUCCAGCUCCUAGGGGAGGCGAAGUUCAGAUGGGUGGUUUUCAUAUUGCUAUAUCCAUGAGACCAUGACCGAGUCUGGUGGUUUUGAAACUAGGAGUAGGGUUCCAAGAGAGUAUGCAAGAGGACGAAGAAAAUGUGAGUGU